GCAGCAGCUCUUGUUGUGCAGGGAAUAACUCCUGUCAGCAGCAAGGUCCCGACUGAAGUGGCAGCUGCAGUUGUUCCUGUGGUGUGGGCCAGUGGAAUUGCAGGAGAGUGGAAGAGGCAGAAGCUGUAGGUAUUACCCCUGAUGUGGGAUCUCUCCUGGUAAGGCCAAGCCAGUAUCCUUUAAAAUCAGAAUGCCAGACUGGAUUGGUUGCAGUAAGAGCUGAAUUUGCUCCUCCUGGUUUGCUUGUAGAAGGUGAAUGCAAGAACCCUCCAAGAAAACCAAUGGCCCAGGGGAUUGAUGAGUGCAGGACCUGAGAGAACCACCUUGAAUGACAACCUCGAGUAGUUUCCAGUACUGGAUUAAAAAGAUGGCCUUUGCUGCAUCUCCUGGAGCAAGGAAAGCCAAGAAAGCUUUGCUUUGGAAGGAGAAAAUGGGGAAGCAGGAAGGAAGAAGAGAAGCCACGUGACUCCUCCCUGAGCCCCAGACAGCCCAGGAACUGCCUCCCUGGGAAUGGUAGGACGGGCUGGACUCUGGAAUGCUCCCUCUGGAUGUGUGGCUCUCCCCUGCAGGAACUCCAGGAACUCCUGGUGCCGCCUGGGCCGAUGGAUUGGACGCCCCAGCCCCUCCGUUCCUGCCCAGCCCCUGGGGCCGUGUCGAGUGGUGGCACUGCCAACCCCUGCAGUGGGAUGUAGCCUGGAAACUGCAGAGAGCUGAGCCAAGGGAUUUAAAGGGACCAAGCAAGGGAGGUGA